CCUACGGGAGGCAGCAGUGGGGAAUCUUCGGCAAUGGACGCAAGCCUGACCCAGCAACGCCGCGUGAAGGAAGAAGGCUUUCGGGUUGUAAACUUCUGUUGAGAGAGAAGAGCAGAAGACGGUACCUCUUGAAUAAGCCACGGCUAACUACGUGCCAGCAGCCCCGGUAAUACGUAGGUGGCAAGCGUGGUCCGGAUUUACUGGGUGGAAAGGGCGUGCAGCCGGGAACACAAGUCAGAUGUGAAAGCCCGCGGCUCAACCGCGGAAGUGCAUUGGAAACUGUGUUGCUUGAGUACCGGAGAGGUCAUCGGAAUUCCUUGUGUAGCGGUGAAAUGCGUAGAUAUAAGGAGGAACACCAGUGGCGAAGGCGGAUGACUGGACGGCAACUGACGGUGAGGCGCGAAAGCGUGGGGAGCAAACAGGAUUAGAUACCCCGGUAGUC
rnacentral:rRNA from 1 species